AUUGAACGCUGGCGGCAGGCCUAACACAUGCAAGUCGAACGAGUGGCGGACGGGUGAGUAAUGUCUGGGAAACUGCCUGAUGGAGGGGGAUAACUACUGGAAACGGUAGCUAAUACCGCAUACUAUCAGAUGUGCCCAGAUGGGAUUAGCUUGUUGGUGGGGUAACGGCUCACCAAGGCGACGAUCCCUAGCUGGUCUGAGAGGAUGACAAGCCACAGUGAAACAGAGGCACGGUCCAGAGGCCUACGGGAGUGAGCAGUGGGGAAUAUUGGACAAUGGGGGCAAGCCUGAUGCAGACAUGCCGGGUGUAGGAAGAAGGCCGUCGGGUGGUAAAGUACUUUCAGCGGGGAGGCGUUACCCGGAGAAGAAGCACCGGAUAACUCGGUACCAGGAGACGGGGUAAUAC
rnacentral:rRNA from 1 species